GUAAUGACUUAGGGCAAAGGUCCAAAAACAGUGACCCAGGGGCCAUGUGAGGCCCUCCAGUAUCUCUCUUGCCACUGCAGAAGAGGCAAGGCAACAAUUUUAGACUAGUGGGAGGUUUUUAAGGGGCCAAACUGAGCACUUGCUUCAACCUUCAAUACCUCCCUUCGGAACUGGUCUCGCCUGCUUUUGAGGUGUGACCCUUAGGUGGUGCUGCCCUCAAGCUGACUAAGGUUGCAGGGUCCUGUCCCAGGUUGCAACUGGAUGCAGAGGCUGGAUAAAGCAGCUUCCACUGGGAUUCUCACACUGAGCAGAAGUUGCACUAGAGGGCUUCUGUGACUUCCUCCUCUGGAACUAGAAUCCGAUGGAGACUUGAUUUGUAUAUGGCCUGGACUUCAGUUUUUGCAGGUUUUCCAGAGGAAAAGCAUGAGAGAACCAAGAAGAGCAACCUCCUCAUUCUCCUCCUUUUCUCAAGUAGGCCACCUCAACACCUAGCAGGCCAUCCUCAGCAACCACUUAAGAGCCAGGUGACCCACUAGAAACCUAGUGAAAUCAUUUUAAUUUUAACCCACUGGGCUGCAAGCAGAUGUUUCAAACCCAGUUGCUGCCUGGUCGAUUACCCUUCACUCUGCGUUUGCUGUGCACGCGCCAUGCUGAAAAGUUUGCUUUGGGGGAGGGGGGAGGAACAGCUGCCAAAGACUUUCCACUUUACUUCUGAAUGGUUGUUUGUUAUAAGGGACAGAACAUUCAGGGCAAACUGUUCCCCUCGCCAGGGUCCAAAGUCAGCAUUCAUGAAGAUUUACACUGGGGAGGUGUAGGGGAAGAAAAUACGGGGCAGCGCUUGCCCAACACACAGAGCAUUGUGCAAUACGCCCUCCUGCACAGUUCGGGGCUCUCGCAAGAGUAACUUUGGGAAAGGCAGAACCACACCUCCUGCCAGCUGCAAGCAGAAAAGCCUCCUUGUCUGGCUGACCCCGCUCAAGGAGGUAAAAUGAAGACCAGAACUGAAAGCAAGUGGCACGCUGAAAGGAAUACAAGGUUCCUGAGAGGUUAUACUGCCAGGCCGCUGCAAUUAAGAUAUCGUAAGGGCAACUGCUGAGCGCUCCAUACUGGAUCCCCAGAGGGAACUGGCACGAGAACGAGAGGAGCAAAACAGAUCCCUGACAGCUUAGAAAGCGCUUCCUCCAAGACGAAAUGCCCACGUAACCCCCCUGCUUCGCAAGCUGCACUGGUUGCUGGUUUGCUUCCAGGGGCUGGUCUGCUGGAAUCCUAAAGUCCCAGAGCAUUUUGGCUUCUUCAUUUUCUAUGACUUCGUCUGUUUUGCGGUCCCACCAGUCCUGGCUUGCAGGCAAGUGUUAUUUCUUGCAUUAUUAUUACUGCAUAUUAUUAUUACUACUACUACUACUACUAUUAUUGGCUUCCCAGGCAAAUUGAUUUUCUCCACAAGAUAGGACUUUCAGGCCGCAAUGGAAGGCCAUCAUGAGACCAGCUGCUGGACUCCUCCUAUAAGCGGGAGGGAAUAAGCAAGCCGCAGAAGUGUCUUCCCUGUUUUUUUUGUGACAUCCAGCCAGAAGCUGAACUCCUGAACCAUCCAACAGACUAAAGCAUCUGCUUGCUCCCAAGACCCGGCCAUCCUUCUCUAAGCCAGACUUGAUCUUAGCCACAAGGCUCUCCUCCAAGCAGAUCAUAUAGGCUUGGUGCCAGGACUGUUAAUCAGUGUUUUGCCAUCAGAACCCUAACAAACUCUAAAAAAAAUAAAAUAAAUAAAAAUGCUGCACGGAUGAAGCAAAUAUUUAACACUGAAAAGCAUGACCACGCACGCGCAUAUACAUAUGUUGAUGUCAAGAAUUCAGACAGGCUUUUCUUUCUUUUUUUCCUGAAAGCUAGUAGCCUCCAGGGUAGAAGGAGUGGAAACUCCCUCCAAUGCCUAUAUAUAGGAUCAAAGUCCUUUCCUAGCACACACGCAGCCAGUCUCCAAGGGAUCAAACUGCAGUGAACUUUCUUGAUCUGAGAUUUCUAUGCCAACUUCAAUACAAAGCUCUCUGCAUUUGAAAAAAGCCAUUCCCCCACUGCACGCUUCCAAGAUACAUGGAAAAACCAUUAUGAGGAUAAUCAACUGAAAAAUCUAUACAAUGGCAAAACCAGACGCAGCCCAUAAAUAAGGAUUUUCGCAGGCAUUUUUUAAACAGGGGUUAUUAAAGUUCAGCCUUGUUAAGGUUCAGACUCCAAAGGCCCACCUGGUUUAAGAACCAGGUAACUGAGGGGAGCUGUAUUUUCUCUUGACAUCUAGUCUUUGCUGCCUUGACUGCCAGCACCCCAGCAAAGACGCAGACAAGGAUGAAAGAAUGUCUGGCUUUUCUGAAUCAGGUGGAAGGAUCUGAACAAGAGCAGAUGCGGUCAUUAAUCAUCCGCUCCCCGCCAACAGCAUCCAUGGAGAAAUGCUGGCUGUGGUCAACUGGUCAGGCUGGGCUUCCUUGGAGAGACAGAGACCAGUUCCUGUCCAAACCCUUGGUCACAGGAGCUUUGGGCAACUCAAACCUGCCUUGCGAGGGCAGGCUGAAAUAAAUCAAUCCAAACAUACCUCUUCCAAGCUGACUUCAUUCUUUUGAAAAAGAACUGCUGGGGUGAAACAGUGGUGGGGACUUUACAAAGGAGGCAACAAAUAUGUUGCUUAUGUGUUGGUUGAUUUUAUUUGAACCCCACGGUGUGCUGCUUUGUUAUACCUUUGGCGGUGGUGGUUUUAUUGGCGUUGACUAUUUUUAUUUCUUUGAGAAAUGCCCAGAAAGCUUACACUGAAUGUGUUGCACAAAUAUAAGGCUGGUUAAGAUGAUCCAGCCUAGUUAGAAAUGACGGAUGUAAACAGAUGCUCGUUGCAGAAGGAAUUUAGAGAAAGACCUUUUUUUAUCCAAAAGUGGAUUUCUU